UACAGAGGGUGCAAGCGUUGUUCGGAAUUAUUGGGCGUAAAGCGCGUGUAGGCGGCUUUGCAAGUCGGGUGUGAAAUCCCUCAGCUCAACUGAGGAAGUGCGCCCGAAACUGCAGAGCUUGAAUACCAGAGAGGAUGGCGGAAUUCCCCAAGUAGAGGUGAAAUUCGUAGAUAUGGGGAGGAACACCGGUGGCGAAGGCGGCCGUCUGGAUGGCUAUUGACGCUGAGACGCGAAAGCAUGGGGAGCAAACAG
rnacentral:rRNA from 1 species